UGGGGAAUCAUGGACAAUGGAGGAAACUCUGAUCCUGCAAUUCUGCGUGGAGGACGACGCCUUACGGGGUGUAAACUCCUUUUCUGGUGGAAGACGACUGACGGUACACCAGGAAUAAGGGACGGCUAACUACGUGCCAGCAGCCGCGGUAAUACGUAGGUCCCAAGCGUUAUCCGGAUUUACUGGGCGUAAAGCGUCUGUAGCUGGUUUUAUAAGUCUGUUUUCAAAUCCUGCGACUCAAUCGUAGAAAGGGAAUGGAUACUGUAGAACUGGAGGUACUGAGGGGUAAGUGGAAUUUCCGGUGGAGCGGUGGAAUGCGUUGAUAUCGGAAGGAACGCCAAAAGCGAAGGCAGCUUACUAUUGGAUACCUGACAGUGAGAGACGAAAGUAUGGGUAGCAAACG
rnacentral:rRNA from 1 species